CAUUUAUUGAGUGAACAGAGGUGAGUUCAACAUUCAGUAUUAAUCGUGCACAAUCUAGAGCAAAAGAUUGGUCUGGACCCCUUGCUCCAUACACAGUGGCCAAAGCCAUCUUCCAAGGGGAGCAUAUUAAAAUUCCCCCCAAACCCAGGCUUGCUGUGUCCUGAGAGGUCUUGAAAUCCAGUGACCUCUCUGAAGCCUAGCAGUUGGCCAAGCAGGAGCUGGGGCUUGGGUUCAAGCUAAGAGCUAACCCAGCUCUAAGCAGACUCUGCCAUGGUUCAAGGUUUUCUAGCCUUUGUAAAACAUCUCACAUGCGCGUCAGACCACAUGUGGGGGAAAGCUCUGCCUCCGCAGGUGACUUAACUGCUGUUCAGAUGUGAGCAAUUAGGUCCUCGGAGAAAGCUGUAAAUGCAAGACCUCAGGCUUCUGCUGAGAAGGGAACUGAGGAGUGCUGAGUAGCUUCUACACGCCAGCAUAGAGCUGGGUGACCCACACACUGUCACUAAUGAUUAGAAAAGACGAAUAUUGGAAUCGACAAAACAAAAUGAAGGUAAAGUGCGUGGAGGAACCAAAGGAGAUAUUUUUCUGAUGAGGCUUUGAGAGAAAGAUAAACUGAAGUAAAGACAGGCCGACAGGGGCCUGUGGCACUACACUCUUGUCUGUCUUGGAGAAGGUGCUGGAUGAGCACAUUAAGAGGUUCUGCCACAUCCUGGCAUGGCAUUUACCUGAGCAGCAGGAAGUCAUCUGUCCCGUGUACUGAGGAAAAGGAUGGAGAAAUAGCCCACAGGCACGUUUCUCCUUAACAGCCCUGACCUCCGUGGGUUUAUAAAAAUGCCCAAAGCUUCUCCUAAGCCAGGUAUCCAGACUGUUCUGCUGAGGAGUCAUUACUCACAAGUGAGGCAGGACUCUGGCUGGGGAAUUAACUCAUAUUUUACCUCAAUGAGCCUCUCACUUUGUAGGAGAGGAAACCAAGGUUUCUAAAUGUAAACUGUCCAUGUCACAGACAGCUGUGGAAAUUAGAUCUGGCUGGCCCCAAAGCCCUGAAAUAGUGCCUCCCAGGUCCGAAUAGAAACAGAGCAUUCAAGCCAGGGAUGCAACAGCAUCCAAAUACUGUGACUGAGUCAAAGAUUCUCAUUUGUGCUAUGAAUUAAUUUCAAAUCCUAUCUUAAAAGAGGAAAAGAUAUUGCAAAAGUCCCUUAAAUUCAACAUGUCCAAGAACAACUCAUGACUUCCCACUCCCAACAAAGUCUGUUUCUACCCGUGUUUCCUCUCUCAGUGAGUGGUACCGACACCCGUCUAGUUCUGCCAGCCAAGGAUGUGGAAGUCAUUCUGGACCUUUCCACGACCCCCACAGACACACACACGUACACACCAUACCCAGUCCAUCACCAAAUCCUGCCGAUUCUACCUUCUAAAUAUCUAUCAGAACUAUCCACUUCUCUCCAUACUGGCUGCUCCCUCUACAGUCCAGGAUAUCACCUCCCCUGGACAUCUGCAGCCUCUCAGCAUCUCACCCCUACACCAACCAUAGCCUCACCCAGCUCCUUCCAUUUCGUGUAUUGCAGCCAGAAGGUUCUUUUUGGAAUGUAACCUGACCACAUCCACACUUGGCUGCCCUUUCCCCAGUUCUUAAAACAUCCCAAUGGCUUCCCAUUGUUGAUAAGACAGAGAACAAAGUCUUCAGGAUGGCCCUGCAUGGAGUGACUGCCUGCUUAUCUCUGCAGACUCAAGUCGAAUUAUUCUCCUUCCCUGUGUGUUCCAACCACUUGCAGUCUUAUUUGCAAAUGGUCAAACAUCCCAGGCUUCUUCCCUUCAUAGACCUUUGUAGGCACAAGGAAUCCACACAGAACAUUCCUCCCCACCCUCACCCGACUGGUGACUGCUCUCCAUCCUCAGAGUUCAGCUCAAAUGCUGCAUCCCAACAGAGGCUUUCCUUAAGCCCCCAAGCUGAGACGUGCCUUCUCCUUAGACCCUCACAUAGCGUCUGGCAGCUUCCGAUCGUCACCCUCAUCAAGGCUUAAAUUACACUUGUAUGUACGUGAUUGUCUGCUCCUCACCUUUGCCCAGGCGUAAGCCCCGUGGCGGCAGAGAUGCAUCUGUGUUCCUCCUCUGAAGCACUAAUACCAAACGCGAUCCCUGACACCCAGGAGGUGCUCACUAAGUUCUUGUAGAGGACAGAAGGAAAGAAGAAAGGAAUGUGCUGGAGACUGCUAACCUGCAUCCUAAGUCUGGGAUUGCCUUGGGACGUGGGCGGGGUCAGGAGCCCAGCCACUAAGAGCGAGAGAAGAGCUGGUUAUGAGGAGGCUGCCGCCAGGGCUGCUCUACCCUCCCUGCAAAUCGCCUUGGUGGCCACCUUAGAGAGGGCCUGAGCUGGAAUCUCCCUGAUGGGACCUCCUUCAGCAUCUGUCCUACUUUUAUAUGGGGCAAAAUCAGAGAGUAGUUAGGAUCUGAAAAAACAUUAAUAACUUGCAUUGAACUAAAAUUCUGACCACAUUUAUGUGAGCAUUACCUGUCCAGUACAGUGACUACAGAGUACUUGGUUUAGGUAAUCCUUGCAUGUCUCACAAAGUGACUGCAGGGUACUUGUUUUAGGUAAAGCUUGACCUGUCCCACAAGGUGACUGCAGGGUACUUGGUUUAGGUAAGCCUCACCCAUCCCACAAGGUGACUGCGGGGUACUUGGUUUAGGUAAGCCUCACCCAUCCCACAAGGUGACUGCGGGGUACUUGUUUUAGGUAAGCCACACAUGUCCCACAAGGUGACUGCGGGGUACUUGUUUUAGGUAAGCCUCGCGUGUCCCACAAGGUGACUGCAGGGUACUUGUUUUAGGUAAGCCUCACCCGUCCCACAAGGUGACUGCGGGGUACUUGUUUUAGGUAAGCCACACAUGUCCCACAAGGUGACUGCGGGGUACUUGUUUUAGGUAAGCCUCGCGUGUCCCACAAGGUGACUGCAGGGUACUUGUUUUAGGUAAGCCUCGCGUGUCCCACAAGGUGACUGCAGAGUACUUGGUCAGUCAGUGUUGUGCUGUGUUUUCCCUCGCAGCUGUUCAGUACUAAUGUUUCUGUGUGGCCCCACCAGACUCCUUUUCCAGGUGUCACCACUGCCCAGACUCUCUCCCUGCAGCGUCACCUUCCCUUCCCCCUGUUCCCUGUGGGGACUGCAGUGAGGGAACCUCAUCUAGUUCCACUUCCAGUUCCUGGGGUUGCUUCCUGCCUCAGACCUCCUCCUCUGUGAGGUUGGCACCUGGUGGUUCUUAGAGAGACACUGACUCCCAUACGAAGCAUAACACGCCUCUGGGCUGCCAUGUCUGCACCAUGUCAAUCCUGCUUCUGUGCUCAAAGGGCUCCAAAAGCACGUUAAUUACAGUCCACAAGCUGAUAUCCUGGGUUUAGCGCAGACAGAGAAGGAUGUCCGUGCACACGGCCUCGCCUGCGCCUGAGCGCUCUCUCCUGCUCAGGUGAGAGGACCACUUGAAAAGGCACUACCCGUCGCUUCCCUGCCAGGGUGGCUCAGCAGCACCACAUUGCAGACACUCAGAAAGCUCCUGCCACUGGCACCAAGACAACGUUUCUGGGAAACAGAGAGCAAGAGGCUGCAAUAAUGCUGGUAGCACCCAGGGCCCAUCACUUAUCUACUGAUUGCGAAACAAACCAGGGCUUCAAAGAGAAGAGCGUGUGCUGAAAAGUCUAUUUGAUCCGCCCUUUAAAGUGAAAAUGAAGCCUCUUCAUGAGGAGCAGACCGACCCCAUAAGCUUAUAGCUCCAGUUUCUUCCACCCACCAAUACAGCGUGCAGGUAGCUCACCAGGAACUAAGACACCAUCUUCAAACCGAGCUCCCAUUCUGGAAGCAUCGGCUUCAGCAGACAAAAGGGAAUGCAGACCCACCAGCUAAAAAGAGUAAUGUUUUUCCUGGCCUAGAGGCUUGAGUACUUUCAUCAGAAAGAACUGGGUGGGAGAACUCUCGGGUACGACUUGGGUGGGCCCCUGCCCAGUUCUGGAGGGGAAGCUGCCAGGAGAACAUAGACUAAGUAAACAUGUCCCCACUCCACCACAGUUUGUGGUCUGGCGCUUGCUCCAUGUGGCCCCGAGAGGUGGGAGCUACAAACACAAUGGGACAGAAGCUACAAAAGGACAGAUUUGGGUUCAACAUGAGCAGGAAAUAAGAGAGCAGCCUCAAGACAGUGUUGGCACCCUCUGCAGCCACGAGCUCUCAGUCAGUGCAUGUCCCAUCACCCAUAUGUGAGUGAGGAACCUCAGGCUGGAUGGGGUGAGACACCUGGCAUCCUCCUCCAAAGGAAUUACAUCUGUAGGCAGCGUCUCAAUGGGAAUCACAAUCAGAAAGCCCAGAACAUCGUCCAAAGGAGAAGAAAAGGAAAACAAAUACAUCCAAAAGAAACAGACAUGCAGGAGAGAAUCCUUAUCCAAAGACAAAGGAAGAGAAGCAAAAGCCAAGAUUUAAAGUGAAGGAUGAGAAGCAAAGCCUUGCAGGAGCUCCUGAGGUGAGCAGCAGACUGAGACAGCCUUCUGGUCUCGGGUUUGAAGCACCAACGUUGGGCCGUGACUUGAUCGAUCUAAAGUGGACAGCUUCUUGUUUGGGUGUCAUAGAAGGCAGCCAAGCUUUGGGUGAGUGGUGGGACUUCAUCAGUGUUCCGAUGGAACUGCUACAUCUCCAAAUUACAUGUCGUCCUUCGUGAGUGCAGGCCCAUGUUUUUCUGGAGAGUUGACAGCUUUUGUCAGAUUC
ensembl:lncRNA